rnacentral:lncRNA from 1 species
UCUUCAUUAUUUGGACUUAUGGAAUCAUGUUAUCUGGUUUUCUACUCCUCGUGGUAGUCGAUUUUCAAAAUAUUGAGUUUCUAUGUGGGAAACUGUUUUUAAAGAAUUUAAAAUGGAUUGAUGAAUGUUUGGAGUUUAAAAUAAAGCUUCCGGAUGUGGAGCACUUUUAAUAAUAUUGUGCAUCGCAUCAUCCAACGCAUAAGGAGUGCUUAGAGGCAUGCAUCAUUUCUAAGAAUGAUUAGCUGUAUAAAAAUGCAUUACAUUGAUUGUCUGUAGAUUAAGGCUGCGUUUGGUUCGGGUAUAAGUAAGAACUGCUAGUUCUAGGGAUAGGUACAAGUUCAGGUAUAAGCAGGAACUAGACCAAUUUUGCGUUUGGAUGAAAAUUGGGUUGUUCCUAAGAAUAAGACAAAUAGUGUUUGGAUGGUUAAAUUGGAACAAGAGGAAUAAGAGUUAUAAUUUGAAAUUAAAAUUAUAUUAUGUAAUUAAUAGUAAUAAAAAUAUUACUUAAAAAUAAAUAAGAAAUUAAUUAUUAAUAAUUAAUUAUAAAUAAUAAUAAUUAUUUAAUAAUUAAUUAUAAAUAAUAAAUUAAUAAUAUGGAUGAUCUAAUUAAUAAUAAUAAUUAUUAUUAUUAAUUAUUAAUAAAUAAUAAUAAUUAUUAAUUAUUCUUAUUAAUUAAUUAUAAAUAAUAAAUUAAUAAUAAUAUUGAUUAUCUAAUUAUUAAUAAUAAUUAAUAUUAAUAUUUAUUAAUAAAUAAUAAUAAUAAUAAUUAUUUAAUUAUAAAUAAUAAAUUAAUAAUAAUAUCCAUUAUCUAAUUAUUAAGAAUAAGAAUUAUUAAUUAAUUAUUAAUAAAUAAUAAUUAUUAUUAAUUAUUAAUUAUUAAUUAUAAAUAAUAAAUUAAUAAUAAUAUCGAUUAUCUAAUUAUUAAGAAUAAAAAUUAUUAAUAAUUAUUAAUAAAUAAUAAUUAUUAUUAAUUAUAAAUAAUUAAUUAUAAAUAAUAAAUUAAUAAUAAUAUCGAUUAUCUAAUUAUUAAGAAUAAAAAUUAUUAAUAAUUAAUAAUAAAUAAUAAUAAUUAUUAAUUAUUAAGAAUUAAUUAUAAAUAAUAAAUUAAAAAUAAUAUCUAUUGUCAUUAAGAAUAAAUAAUAAUUAUUAAUAAAAAAAUAAUGAAUAUUAUUAAUUAUUUAUAAUUAAUUAUAAAUAAUAAAUUAAUAAUAAUAAUUAUCUAAUUAUUAAUAUUUAAUUAUAAAUAAUAAAUUAUUUAAAUUAUUUAAUUAUUAAAGUAAUAAAUAACGAUUUAAAUAUAUUAAUUAGAUUAAUUAAUAAUUUACUUCCAUUAAAAUUAAAUUUAGAUUUUAAUUAAUCUUGUUCUCAUCCAGGAACAAGCUUGUUCUAGGAAACGGGUGGAACAGCAGUUCCAGCCUUAUACUAGCUAGUUCCAGAUUCCCGGGAACUACUGUUCUCGGGAACCAAACGUUGCGUUUGGGAACAAAGGGGGGAACAAGGGCUUAUUCCCCCUCUUGUUUCCGAACCAAACACUACCUAAGUGAAUAUAGGUCAUGAGUUGUGAUUCUGUUGAUGUGGAGGUUAUGAGUUGUGAUUCUGUUGAUGUUGUUUGAUCGGUACGCCGUAGAAAUAUAAAGGAGACUCUGUUCGUGUGGGUAGAGGAAUUUGCAUUUGUGGCGGGUUUGUACGUCAUGUGGGUUAGACUAUUUCAAAAAAAAA